AUCAUCCUACGGGACGCAGCAGUGAGGAAUAUUGGUCAAUGGGCAGGAGCCUGAACCAGCCAAGUCGCGUGAGGGAAGACGGUCCUAUGGAUUGUAAACCUCUUUAGGCGGGGAGCAAUGCCGGGCACGCGUGCCCGGAGGGAGAGUACCCGCAGAAUAAGCAUCGGCUAACUCCGUGCCAGCAGCCGCGGUAAUACGGAGGAUGCGAGCGUUAUCCGGAUUUAUUGGGUUUAAAGGGUGCGUAGGCGGAUUUUUAAGUCUGCGGUAAAAUGUCCGGGCUCAACCCGGGCCGGCCG
rnacentral:rRNA from 1 species